AUCAAAAUGUUAUUUCCCUCAAAAACGUAUGAUUCGACACUAUUAGUAGAGUUAUGUAACACCACUAACCUAUUGUUAUUAUUAGUAGUAUUAUUGGACUUCGAAUCGAGUUGUACCUCAUUCGCGUUGUAACUGCCGCUACGCGUAGGCCUUGCCACAUCGAAAGUAUAAAACAGAACAACUUUACAGUAAAUUAUCCAACUUUAUCAGCAGAAUACAAUCGAAUAUUUACAUGGCUCUUUACCUAGUUCUUCUGACAAGCGUUAUUAUCGGAUCUUUGAUAGGAAGAGGAUCAGCAGAUAGGAAUAUAAUCGUACGCCCAAUUGCAUCUUCAGCUUGUCAGACGGGAUCCACUAGAGCAGAAAAGUAUACAGCCUGUACCGAAGAUUGUAAAAAGGCACCACAUUCCGGCGAAGUUAAAUAUGGUUUCUGUAAUUUUAAAACAUGUGUUUGCGUUUUCAUUGAGUUUACUUCAUAAGUAUAACUGUAAUUCGAAAUGAAACAGGUUGGCCAUGUGGAUUCUUCAUUAUUUCACGAGUCUAACACCUAAAUAAGAUCAAUUUCCCAUAGAAUGUCUUUCUCUUUGCAAUUCUUCCACACGUUACGUUACCUUAAUCCACGUUUAUUAUUUGAAUAUGUAAAGAUAGCUGUAACUGAAUAAAUUCAUUUCUGUCCAGA
rnacentral:misc_RNA from 1 species